GAUGAACGCUGGCGGCGUGCCUAAUACAUGCAAGUCGAGCGAACAGACGAGGAGCUUGCUCCUCUGACGUUAGCGGCGGACGGGUGAGUAACACGUGGAUAACCUACCUAUAAGACUGGGAUAACUUCGGGAAAUCGGAGCUAAUACCGGAUAAUAUAUUGAACCGCAUGGUUCAAUAGUGAAAGACGGUUUUGCUGUCACUUAUAGAUGGAUCCGCGCCGCAUUAGCUAGUUGGUAAGGUAACGGCUUACCAAGGCGACGAUGCGUAGCCGACCUGAGAGGGUGAUCGGCCACACUGGAACUGAGACACGGUCCAGACUCCUACGGGAGGCAGCAGUAGGGAAUCUUCCGCAAUGGGCGAAAGCCUGACGGAGCAACGCCGCGUGAGUGAUGAAGGUCUUCGGAUCGUAAAACUCUGUUAUUAGGGAAGAACAAAUGUGUAAGUAACUAUGCACGUCUUGACGGUACCUAAUCAGAAAGCCACGGCUAACUACGUG
rnacentral:rRNA from 1 species